rnacentral:rRNA from 1 species
UGGGGAAUAUUGGGCAAUGGGCGCAAGCCUGACCCAGCAACGCCGCGUGAAGGAUGAAGGUUUUCGGAUUGUAAACUUCUGUCGCGAGGGACGAAGAAUGACGGUACCUCGUAAGAAAGCCCCGGCUAACUACGUGCCAGCAGCCGCGGUAAUACGUAGGGGGCAAGCGUUGUCCGGAAUGACUGGGCGUAAAGGGAGUGUAGGCGGCUUAUCAAGUUAGAUGUGAAAUCCCGCGGCUUAACCGCGGAACUGCAUCUAAAACUGGUGAGCUGGAGUGCAGGAGAGGUGAGUGGAAUUCCUAGUGUAGCGGUGGAAUGCGUAGAUAUUAGGAGGAACACCAGAGGCGAAGGCGACUCACUGGACUGUAACUGACGCUGAGGCUCGAAAGCGUGGGGAGCAAACAGG